rnacentral:ncRNA from 1 species
CACCAGCAUCAGGAGCGACCCAUUAGGGUCCGGCAACCUAGCAACGGAGAUAGCUAAGGUGCCUUGAGAGUGAACAAUCAUUCUCGAUGUGCGGGUUCCAGUUGAGCCCGAAACAGAAACUCCGACGG